rnacentral:rRNA from 1 species
CAAUAGCGUAUAUUAAAGUUGUUGCGGUUAAAAAGCUCGUAGUUGGAUUUCUGCUGAGAACGACCGGUCCGCCCUCUGGGUGUGUAUCUGGCUCUUUCUUGGCAUCUUCUUGGUGAACGUUGCUGCACUUGACUGUGUGGAGCGCUACCCAGGACUUUUACUUUGAGGAAAUUAGAGUGUUUCAAGCAGGCACACGCCUUGAAUACAUUAGCAUGGAAUAAUAAGAUAGGACCUCGGUUCUAUUUUGUUGGUUUCUAGAUCUGAGGUAAUGAUUAAUAGGGAUAGUUGGGGGCAUUCGUAUUUAACUGUCAGAGGUGAAAUUCUUGGAUUUGUUAAAGACGGACUACUGCGAANGNAUUUGCNAAGGAUGUUUNCAUUG